rnacentral:rRNA from 1 species
AACGAACGCUGGCGGCAUGCCUAACACAUGCAAGUCGAACGAGACCUUCGGGUCUAGUGGCGCACGGGUGCGUAACGCGUGGGAACCUGCCCUUAGGUUCGGAAUAACUCCCCGAAAGGGGUGCUAAUACCGGAUAAUGUCUUCGGACCAAAGAUUUAUCGCCUUUGGAUGGGCCCGCGUUGGAUUAGCUAGUUGGUAGGGUAAAAGCCUACCAAGGCGACGAUCCAUAGCUGGUCUGAGAGGAUGAUCAGCCACACUGGGACUGAGACACGGCCCAGACUCCAAGGGAGGGCGGGAGGGGGGAAUAUGGGACAAGGGGCAAAAGCGUAAACCGGCAUGCCGCGGGAGAGAUGAAGGCCUUAGGGUUGUAAAGCUCUUUUACCCGGGAUGAUAAUGACAGUACCGGGAGAAUAAGCUCCGGCUAACUCCGUG